rnacentral:rRNA from 1 species
CCUACGGGAGGCAGCAGUCGAGAAUCAUUCACAAUGGGGGAAACCCUGAUGGUGCGACGCCGCGUGGGGGAAUGAAGGUCUUCGGAUUGUAAACCCCUGUCAUGUGGGAGCAAAUUAAAAAGAUAGUACCACAAGAGGAAGAGACGGCUAACUCGGUGCCAGCAGUCGCGGUAAUACAGAGGUCUCAAGCGUUGUUCGGAAUCACUGGGCGUAAAGCGUGCGUAGGCUGUUUCGUAAGUCGUGUGUGAAAGGCGCGGGCUCAACCCGCGGACGGCACAUGAUACUGGGAGACUUGAGUUAUGGAGGGGGAACCGGAAUUCGCGGUGUAGCAGUGAAAUGCGUAGAUAUCGAGAGGAACACUCGUGGCGAAGGCGGGUUCCUGGACAUUAACUGACGCUGAGGCACGAAGGCCAGGGGAGCGAAAGGGAUUAGAUACCCGUGUAGUC